rnacentral:rRNA from 1 species
UACGUAGGGUCCGAGCGUUGUCCGGAAUUAUUGGGCGUAAAGGGCUCGUAGGCGAUUCGUCACGUCGGGAAUGAAAACUCGGGGCUUAACCCCGAGCCUGCUUCCGAUACGGGCAGACUAGAGGUAGGCAGGGGAGAGCGGAACUCCUAAUAUAGCGGUGGAAUGCGCAGAUAUCAGAAAGAACACCGAUGGCGAAGGCGGCUCUCUGGGCCUUACCUGACGCUGAAGAGCGAAAGCGUGGGUAGCGAACAGG